rnacentral:rRNA from 1 species
UACGUAGGCAGCAAGCGUUGUUCGGAAUUACUGGGCGUAAAGGGUGCGUAGGCGGGUCUUUUAAGUCGGGGGUGAAAUCCUGGAGCUCAACUCCAGAACUGCCUUCGAUACUGAGAGUCUUGAGUCCGGGAGGGGUGAGUGGAACUGCGAGUGUAGAGGUGAAAUUCGUAGAUAUUCGCAAGAACACCAGUGGCGAAGGCGGCUCACUGGCCCGGUACUGACGCUGAGGUGCGAAAGCGUGGGGAGCAAACAGG